rnacentral:tRNA from 1 species
GAGGGUAUAGCUCAGUGGUAGGGCACGUGCUUAGUUAGCAUGCAUGAGGUCCUGGGUUCAAUCCCCAGCACUUUCA